rnacentral:rRNA from 1 species
UAUUGCGCAAUGGAGGAAACUCUGACGCAGCGACGCCGCGUGAGCGAUGAAGGUCUUCGGAUCGUAAAGCUCUGUCCUUGGGGAAGAAGGUCUUCGGACUUGACGGUACCCAUGGAGGAAGCCCCGGCUAACUACGUGCCAGCAGCCGCGGUAAUACGUAGGGGGCAAGCGUUGUCCGGAAUUAUUGGGCGUAAAGGGUGCGUAGGCGGCCUUUUAAGUCAGAUGUGAAAGCCCACGGCUCAACCGUGGGAUUGCAUUUGAAACUGGAGGGCUUGAGUAUCGGAGAGGGUAGUGGAAUUCCCAGUGUAGCGGUGAAAUGCGUAGAUAUUGGGAGGAAUACCAGUGGCGAAGGCGGCUUGCUGGGCUUUUACUGGCGCUGAGGCUCGAAAGUGUGGGGAGCAAACA